rnacentral:rRNA from 1 species
GAUCCUGGCUCAGGACGAACGCUGGCGGCGUGCUUAACACAUGCAAGUCGAACGGAAAGGCCCUGCUUGCAGGGUACUCGAGUGGCGAACGGGUGAGUAACACGUGGGUGAUCUGCCCUGCACUUCGGGAUAAGCUUGGGAAACUGGGUCUAAUACCGGAUAGGAGCCAUCUUUAGUGUGGUGGUUGGAAAGUUUUUUCGGUGUAGGAUGAGCUCGCGGCCUAUCAGCUUGUUGGUGGGGUAAUGGCCUACCAAGG